rnacentral:rRNA from 1 species
GACGUAGGGUGCAAGCGUUGUCCGGAUUUAUUGGGCGUAAAGAGCUCGUAGGCGGUCUGUCGCGUCGAUCGUGAAAACUUGGGGCUUAACCCUGAGCUUGCGGUCGAUACGGGCAUGACUGGAGUUCGGCAGGGGAGACUGGAAUUCCUGGUGUAGCGGUGAAAUGCGCAGAUAUCAGGAGGAACACCAGUGGCGAAGGCGGCUCACUGGACCGGUUCUGACGCUGAGGCGCGAAAGCGUGGGGAGCAAACGGG